AUUGAACGCUGGCGGCAGGCCUAACACAUGCAAGUCGAGCGGAGCGGCGGACGGGUGAGUAAUGCCUAGGAAUCUGCCUGGUAGAGGGGGAUAAAGUCCGGAAACGGACGCUAAUACAGCAUACUAUCAGACGAGCCUAUGUCGGAUUAGCUAGUAGGUGGGGUAAGGGCCUACCAAGGCGACGAUCCGUAACUGGUCUGAGAGGAUGAUCAGUCACACUGGAACUGAGACACGGUCCAGACUCCUACGGGAGGCAGCAGUGGGGAAUAUUGGACAAUGGGCGCAAGCCUGAUGCAGCCAUGCCGCGUGUAUGAAGAAGGUCCUAGGGUUGUAAAGUACUUUCAGUUGGGAGGCGUUACCGACAGAAUAAGCACCGGCUAACUUCGUGCCAGCAGCCGCGGUAAUAC
rnacentral:rRNA from 1 species